rnacentral:rRNA from 1 species
GGGUCGUAAACUUCUUUUAUAUGGGAAUAAAGUUUUCCACGUGUGGAAUUUUGUAUGUACCAUAUGAAUAAGGAUCGGCUAACUCCGUGCCAGCAGCCGCGGUAAUACGGAGGAUCCGAGCGUUAUCCGGAUUUAUUGGGUUUAAAGGGAGCGUAGGUGGAUUGUUAAGUCAGUUGUGAAAGUUUGCGGCUCAACCGUAAAAUUGCAGUUGAAACUGGCAGUCUUGAGUACAGUAGGGGUGGGCGGAAUUCGUGGUGUAGCGGUGAAAUGCUUAGAUAUCACGAAGAACUCCGAUUGCGAAGGCAGCUCACUAGACUGUUACUGACACUGAUGCUCGAAAGUGUGGGUAUCAAACAGGAUUAGAUACCCUGGUAGUCCACACAGUAAA